AAACGUAGGCAAUGCAGAUGCUGGUGAAAGUGUAUUAUCUGUCAUCAUCAGCUUCAUAUCUGAUACGGGUUGUAUUUGGACCCGCUAUAUUAAACUUAUUUUCGCAAGUUGGCGGAGUGUUUGAAGCCUGCUUCACCUCCACCGCGGGUUGGCCUGCAGCGGUAUUGCACUAUCUUCGGAAUCGGCCCACGUUUU